rnacentral:rRNA from 1 species
UACAGAGGCCUCGAGCGUUAGGCGGAAUCACUGGGCUUAAAGCGUGUGUAGGCGGACUUCUAAGUACCUUGUGAAAUCCCACGGCUCAACCGUGGAACUGCUCGGUAUACUGGUUGUCUUGAGCCAUCUAGGGGCGAGCGGAACAAGUGGUGGAGCGGUGAAAUGCGUAGAUAUCACUUGGAACGCCAACGGUGAAAACAGCUCGCUGGGGAUGUGCUGACGCUGAGACACGAAAGCGUGGGUAGCAAACAGG